UUCAAUUCCUCUCUCUCACAAAAAAUACAUCACUAAAUCAACAAACCCUACAGACUAGAAUCAAAAUCCCCCAAAUCGUCUUUGCGUCAAAAUCACCCAAACCCUACUAAACUCAAACUAUAUUUUCGGCGACGAAGGAAUCUUCUGGGCAUCAAAAUUGACUUUAAACCCAUACUUGACAAGCACGAUUUGUAGAGCGUCUUCUUCAACCAUGGUGGACACAAGAUCUUCUGGAACCGCGACACAUGAUGGAAAAGAAUUCAAUUCCAUUGGUUGGCUGUAACCUAGUCCAUGCACAAAAUAUUGGGAAUAAGAAGGCACCGGUAAAACCUAAAGAUCAGAAAGAAAUCUCUGCAAAAAGUGAAAAAGGGGUAGCAAAUGCAAGAGAUGUUACUAAUUCUGGAAAAGCGAAUUUGGAGGCAAAAGUGGGCAAAGAUAAUUGAUUGUAACGUUAUGUCAUACUAAUACGAUUCUGAAAUCGACGAGGAGGGUGAUCCAAAAGCCUACUUCAAAAAUGGUCGACACUCGAGUUUCUGGAUCGGCGAGGCCUGACGGAAAGGUGUAUCAGAGAACGACGUGAAGAAGAUACCGCCGAUCCCAAAAGUACCGAAAGGAUGUUUAGAAUACCACUAUUUUAAUGAAACGAUGUUUAGAGCUUGUAAUUCUCUUUUUUAUAUCAUGUUUAUAUGUCGGCUGGAUGUCAUUGUUACUAUAUAUUAUUUCAUCUGUAAGAUGAGAUAAACUUCCAUUACAAUGACCUUGGAAUGCUUUCCUCUUGUUUCUUGUA